UGGCCAGUUGGUAGAGCAUGGUGUUUGCAACGCCAGGGUUGUGGGUUCGAUUCCCAC
rnacentral:tRNA from 1 species